ensembl:lncRNA
AUUUUUUAUUUAUUAAUUAAGUUAGUUAAUUAGUUUAGAUUUUUUAUUUGUAUUAAUUAGGUUAGUUAAUUAGUUUAGAUUUUUUUAUUUAUUAAUUAGGUUUGAAUAAUUAGGUUAGUUAAUUAGUUUAGAUUUUUUUAUUUAUUAAUUAGGUUAGAAUAAUUAGGUUAGUUAAUUAGUUUAGAUUUUUUUAUUUAUUAAUUAGGUUAGAAUAAUUAGGUUAGUUAAUUAGUUUAGAUUUUUUUAUUUAUUAAUUAGGUUAGAAUAAUUAGGUCCAGCAGUCCAGUUCACCUCUGUGACGCGGCAGGAACGUGCUGAGAAGUGACAAUAUGCACCUGGAGAGGUACACGCCCACUAAACACCACUUAGCACCUGGAGAGGUACACGCCCACUAAACACCACUUAGCACCUGGAGUUAUAUACGCCCACUAAACACCACUUAGCACCUGGAGAGGUACACGCCCACUAAACACCACUUAGCACCUGGAGAGGUACACGCCCACUAAACACCACUUAGCACCUGUACACGCCCACUAAACACCACUUAGCACCUGGAGAGGUACACGCCCACUAAACACCACUUAGCACCUGUACACGCCCACUAAACACCACUUAGCACCUGGAGAGGUACACGCCCACUAAACACCACUUAGCACCUGGAGAGGUACACGCCCAC